rnacentral:lncRNA from 1 species
UUCACCGUGUUGCCCAGGCUGGCCUCGAACUCCUAGGCUCAAGCAAUCCUCCCGCUUUGGCCUCUCAAAGUGCUGGCAUUACAAGUGUGAGCCACCACGCCCAGCUUUGUACUUUCUUAAUGAUGUGAAAAGACAUCUGAGUAAAUCUGUAGUUGAGAGUGCAGGAAAAAGAAACCCUAUCACACACUCUUUUGUCAACCGAAUUGCAGAAAUCCACAUUCAAACUGGAUGCAUGCGUUCAGCAACUGGAAGCUGAGUUCAUAUUUCAUUGCCCAACUACCCUGACCACUUGGGAAUCGCAGGUUUGGAAGGACCCACAGCCAUUCUGUGGAAAUGGAUCUGCUUUCAGGACCGAAUCUCAGACUUCUUGGGGAAGGCUUCAGUGGCUGCCUUUGCUGUACAGACCUGGAGAUGGGUCUGAUGAUCGGACACCUGAAUUAUCUGUGUGGCUGAGUUUCAAGAAGACCUGCUGGGGUGAAAUGAAAAUGGUGCCUACUGGAAGCCCCAGUGGCUUUGCUGGUGGAGGCUAGCUUGCUCAUGUCCUCAUACAGAAGCAGAGAUGCAAGCAAGUGAGAAGGUGGAAGGACUCAGGUCUUG